UCUGGUUGAUCCUGCCAGUAGUCAUAUGCUUGUCUCAAAGAUUAAGCCAUGCAUGUCUAAGUAUAAGCAAUUUAUACAGUGAAACUGCGAAUGGCUCAUUAAAUCAGUUAUCGUUUAUUUGAUAGUUCCUUUACUACAUGGUAUAACUGUGGUAAUUCUAGAGCUAAUACAUGCUUAAAAUCUCGACCCUUUGGAAGAGAUGUAUUUAUUAGAUAAAAAUCAAUGUCUUCGGACUCUUUGAUGAUUCAUAAUAACUUUUCGAAUCGCAUGGCCUUGUGCUGGCGAUGGUUCAUUCAAAUUUCUGCCCUAUCAACUUUCGAUGGUAGGAUAGUGGCCUACCAUGGUUUCAACGGGUAACGGGGAAUAAGGGUUCGAUUCCGGAGAGGAGCCUGAGAAACGGCUACCACAUCCAAGGAAGGCAGCAGGCGCGCAAAUUACCCAAUCCUAAUUCAGGGAGGUAGUGACAAUAAAUAACGAUACAGGGCCCAUUCGGGUCUUGUAAUUGGAAUGAGUACAAUGUAAAUACCUUAACGAGGAACAAUUGGAGGGCAAGUCUGGUGCCAGCAGCCGCGGUAAUUCCAGCUCAAUAGCGUAUAUUAAAGUUGUUGCAGUUAAAAAGCUCGUAGUUGAACUUUGGGCCCGGUUGGCCGGUCCGAUUUUUCGUGUACUGGAUUUCCAACGGGGCCUUUCCUUCUGGCUAACCUUGAGUCCUUGUGGCUCUUGGCGAACCAGGACUUUUACUUUGAAAAAAUUAGAGUGUUCAAAGCAGGCGUAUUGCUCGAAUAUAUUAGCAUGGAAUAAUAGAAUAGGACGUUUGGUUCUAUUUUGUUGGUUUCUAGGACCAUCGUAAUGAUUAAUAGGGACGGUCGGGGGCAUCAGUAUUCAAUUGUCAGAGGUGAAAUUCUUGGAUUUAUUGAAGACUAACUACUGCGAAAGCAUUUGCCAAGGACGUUUUCAUUAAUCAAGAACGAAAGUUAGGGGAUCGAAGAUGAUCAGAUACCGUCGUAGUCUUAACCAUAAACUAUGCCGACUAGGGAUCGGGUGGUGUUUUUAAUGACCCACUCGGCACCUUACGAGAAAUCAAAGUCUUUGGGUUCUGGGGGAGUAUGGUCGCAAGGCUGAAACUUAAAGGAAUUGACGGAAGGGCACCACCAGGAGUGGAGCCUGCGGCUUAAUUUGACUCAACACGGGGAAACUCACCAGGUCCAGACACAAUAAGGAUUGACAGAUUGAGAGCUCUUUCUUGAUUUUGUGGGUGGUGGUGCAUGGCCGUUCUUAGUUGGUGGAGUGAUUUGUCUGCUUAAUUGCGAUAACGAACGAGACCUUAACCUACUAAAUAGUGGUGCUAGCAUUUGCUGGUUAUCCACUUCUUAGAGGGACUAUCGGUUUCAAGCCGAUGGAAGUUUGAGGCAAUAACAGGUCUGUGAUGCCCUUAGACGUUCUGGGCCGCACGCGCGCUACACUGACGGAGCCAGCGAGUCUAACCUUGGCCGAGAGGUCUUGGUAAUCUUGUGAAACUCCGUCGUGCUGGGGAUAGAGCAUUGUAAUUAUUGCUCUUCAACGAGGAAUUCCUAGUAAGCGCAAGUCAUCAGCUUGCGUUGAUUACGUCCCUGCCCUUUGUACACACCGCCCGUCGCUAGUACCGAUUGAAUGGCUUAGUGAGGCCUCAGGAUCUGCUUAGAGAAGGGGCAACUCCAUCUCAGAGCGGAGAAUUUGGACAAACUUGGUCAUUUAGAGGAACUAAAAGUCGUAACAAGGUUUCCGUAGGUGAACCUGCGGAAG
rnacentral:rRNA from 1 species